rnacentral:rRNA from 2 species
GUAGGUGAACCUGCGGAG